CGUACGAUGAACCCCUUCGGUGGGGAUUAGUGGCGAACGGGUGAGUAACACGUGGGCAAUCUGCCCUUCACUCUGGGACAAGCCCUGGAAACGGGGUCUAAUACCGGAUACUGACCCUCGCAGGCAUCUGCGAGGUUCGAAAGCUCCGGCGGUGAAGGAUGAGCCCGCGGCCUAUCAGCUUGUUGGUGAGGUAAUGGCUCACCAAGGCGACGACGGGUAGCCGGCCUGAGAGGGCGACCGGCCACACUGGGACUGAGACACGGCCCAGACUCCUACGGGAGGCAGCAGUGGGGAAUAUUGCACAAUGGGCGAAAGCCUGAUGCAGCGACGCCGCGUGAGGGAUGACGGCCUUCGGGUUGUAAACCUCUUUCAGCAGGGAAGAAGCGAAAGUGACGGUACCUGCAGAAGAAGCGCCGGCUAACUACGUGCCAGCAGCCGCGGUAAUACGUAGGGCGCAAGCGUUGUCCGGAAUUAUUGGGCGUAAAGAGCUCGUAGGCGGCUUGUCACGUCGGUUGUGAAAGCCCGGGGCUUAACCCCGGGUCUGCAGUCGAUACGGGCAGGCUAGAGUUCGGUAGGGGAGAUCGGAAUUCCUGGUGUAGCGGUGAAAUGCGCAGAUAUCAGGAGGAACACCGGUGGCGAAGGCGGAUCUCUGGGCCGAUACUGACGCUGAGGAGCGAAAGCGUGGGGAGCGAACAGGAUUAGAUACCCUGGUAGUCCACGCCGUAAACGGUGGGCACUAGGUGUGGGCAACAUUCCACGUUGUCCGUGCCGCAGCUAACGCAUUAAGUGCCCCGCCUGG
rnacentral:rRNA from 2 species